GACGAACGCUGGCGGCGUGCUUAACACAUGCAAGUCGAACGGAAAGGCCCUGCUUUUGUGGGGUGCUCGAGUGGCGAACGGGUGAGUAACACGUGAGUAACCUGCCCUUGACUUUGGGAUAACUUCAGGAAACUGGGGCUAAUACCGGAUAGGAGCUCCUGCUGCAUGGUGGGGGUUGGAAAGUUUCGGCGGUUGGGGAUGGACUCGCGGCUUAUCAGCUUGUUGGUGGGGUAGUGGCUUACCAAGGCUUUGACGGGUAGCCGGCCUGAGAGGGUGACCGGCCACAUUGGGACUGAGAUACGGCCCAGACUCCUACGGGAGGCAGCAGUGGGGAAUAUUGCACAAUGGGCGGAAGCCUGAUGCAGCAACGCCGCGUGCGGGAUGACGGCCUUCGGGUUGUAAACCGCUUUCGCCUGUGACGAAGCGUGAGUGACGGUAAUGGGUAAAGAAGCACCGGCUAACUACGUGCCAGCAGCCGCGGUGAUACGUAGGGUGCGAGCGUUGUCCGGAUUUAUUGGGCGUAAAGGGCUCGUAGGUGGUUGAUCGCGUCGGAAGUGUAAUCUUGGGGCUUAACCCUGAGCGUGCUUUCGAUACGGGUUGACUUGAGGAAGGUAGGGGAGAAUGGAAUUCCUGGUGGAGCGGUGGAAUGCGCAGAUAUCAGGAGGAACACCAGUGGCGAAGGCGGUUCUCUGGGCCUUUCCUGACGCUGAGGAGCGAAAGCGUGGGGAGCGAACAGGCUUAGAUACCCUGGUAGUCCACGCUGUAAACGGUGGGUACUAGGUGUGGGGUCCAUUCCACGGGUUCCGUGCCGUAGCUAACGCUUUAAGUACCCCGCCUGGGGAGUACGGCCGCAAGGCUAAAACUCCAAGGAAUUGACGGGGCCCCGCACAAGCGGCGGAGCAUGCGGAUUAAUUCGAUGCAACGCGUAGAACCUUACCUGGGUUUGACAUGGAUCGGGAGCGCUCAGAGAUGGGUGUGCCUCUUUUGGGGUCGGUUCACAGGUGGUGCAUGGCUGUCGUCAGCUCGUGUCGUGAGAUGUUGGGUUAAGUCCCGCAACGAGCGCAACCCUUGUUCACUGUUGCCAGCACGUCAUGGUGGGGACUCAGUGGAGACCGCCGGGGUCAACUCGGAGGAAGGUGGGGAUGACAUCAAGUCAUCAUGCCCCUUAUGUCCAGGGCUUCACGCAUGCUACAAUGGCUGGUACAGAGAGUGGCGAGCCUGUGAGGGUGAGCGAAUCUCGGAAAGCCGGUCUCAGUUCGGAUUGGGGUCUGCAACUCGACCUCAUGAAGUCGGAGUCGCUAGUAAUCGCAGAUCAGCAACGCUGCGGUGAAUACGUUCCCGGG
rnacentral:rRNA from 1 species